CUUGGUCAUUUAGAGGAAGUAAAAGUCGUAACAAGGUAACCGUAGGUGAACCUGCGGUUGGAUCAUUACUGAAUACUCAUCGUGGUGUGCUGCCUUACAGCGGCCUCCACGUAUGAUAUACACCCCCUUGUGAACUGUUAAACGUAUCUUGGCAGCCCUCCAACUGGGAAACGCUCAGGUUUUGGGUAUUUUUAUCCGGAACCUUUGUGUAUCUUUGGGCUGUCAGCACUUAUUACACCACAUAUUUUAUUUAUUUUGAGUCUCCGAGCGAUUCUUUUUGAGAAACGCGUUAUUAUGAAAAUAAUAAACAACUUUUGACAACGGAUCUCUUGGCUCUCGCAACGAUGAAGAACGUAGCGAAUUGCGAUAAGUAAUGUGAAUUGCAGAUUCAGUGAAUCAUCGAAUUUUUGAACGCAUAUUGCGCUCUCUGGUAUUCCGGGGAGCAUGCCUGUUUGAGAACCGUAUGUACCUUCACAAAACCUACCUGUUUUUGGACAGGUGUGGCGGCGUGGAUCUGAUCCUUCCCUUGACGCUUUCGGCGAAAUGGGUGGAUUGAAAGUCAGUGAUCGGAGCCUGCGUAGACGAGGAGGUUUCUCGCUAAAGUACACUGCUCUUUGAUAAACGACGUGGAUUAAUGGUUUAAUUACCUUUUUCAUCGUCCUUAAAUCGAGCUUUUGAAACAGCGCGUUACACACCAAACUCCUUCGACUAGGUUAUUCAAUUGACAACGCAAGGCAUACGGCCCAUACCAUAACAUGCCAGGCGGACCUUUUGGUUCGAAUACCUGAACAAUUGGUCUCAAAUCAAGCAAGAGGACCCGC
rnacentral:rRNA from 1 species